GCUGGCAAUCGCGCUGCCGUGCCCCUUGCGCGAGGGGGGCAGUCGCACACUGCCGCGCCCCCGCGCAAGGGGGCGCUAUGCCCAUGCCUAGCCGCGCACCAGGCACGCUGGGCGCGCUGUCGCCGGCUCAGGCCAGCGCCCCGCCGGGGACCCCUCCGGCCACAACCGCCACCCUGCUCUCGGUCACCCCGAUCCAUUUGGCCCAACAAUGCCAGCCCAUCAAGUCCAUGGCUCAUGCCCAAUAUCCCCAACAGCACUGAUAUUGAGGCAUGAUUCUGAGAUUGUCUGCUCCUUUCUCCCCCAACUGCUUUAUAUAAUUCCUCCAAUCGACUGGUCCUUCGAAUAGAUCAUCCAACCCAAUCACAAAUUGUAGCAACCCUUUCACACCUUUUAUCAAACAUUUGGUCGGCACACGAGAAUUCUUCCCAUCAAUGGCGUUUGUAGUCCAACGGUUGGGAUACUUUUUGGAUCUCGCACCUGGAGAUGCAUUAAGAGAAUGGUGGUAAACAGACAUGUGCAGUGAUUAAACUUCACCAAGAUCAGAAAGAAUGCAAGCAACAUUUACUAGACAAAACAACACAAAGAACACACUGUUAAAAGAUGGAAAUUUGUCCCACACCGGAAACCUAUUAAACCGGAUACCCCAAUAUAAGUUGCUGAAGAAAUUAGAUGGACACGACCUUACUUGAACAGGAUCUGUUCUAUAGGCUCGUACCUCUGUAUCCUUGAGUUCUAAGGAGACAGGAAACUAAGCCUGGAUCGGCAGAGCACAACA